GCAGACAGUCACACACUCAGUUACAGACAGUCACACACUCAGUUACAGGCAGACAGUCACAUACAGUCACAGGCAGACAGUCACACAUACACAUUUCCUCCAUGCGGCCAGUUUAUCAGCUGUUUGCUUGUGUGAGCUGUACUGGCCGCACGGCACCCUAACUACCAUGGGACACUGUGCGGCCACAGCUCACACAGCCCCCUCCAGCCAGGGCCGGUGCAAGGAUUUUUGCAGCCCUAGGCAAAAGUAAAGUUUGCC